rnacentral:rRNA from 1 species
CCUACGGGUGGCAGCAGUGAGGAAUAUUGGUCAAUGGGCGCGAGCCUGAACCAGCCAAGUAGCGUGAAGGCUGACUGCCCUACGGGUUGUAAACUUCUUUUAUAAAGGAAUCAAGUGAGGCACGUGUGCCUUUUUGUAUGUAUUUUAUGAAUAAGGAUCGGCUAACUCCGUGCCAGCAGCCGCGGUAAUACGGAGGGUCCGAGCGUUAUCCGGAUUGAUUGGGUUUAAAGGGAGCGUAGAUGGGUUGUUAAGUCAGUUGUGAAAGUUUGCGGCUCAACCGUAAAAUUGCAAUUGAUACUGGCAGCCUUGAGGACAGUUGAGGUAGGCGGAAUUCGUGGUGUAGCGGUGAAAUGCUUAGAUAUCACGAAGAACUCCGAUUGCGAAGGCAGCUUACUAAACUGCCACUGACAUUGAUGCUCGAAAGUGUGGGUAUCAAACAGGAUUAGAGACCCCUGUAGUC